rnacentral:snoRNA from 1 species
UAACCAUGAUGAGGGCAAGCCCGUCUCAAGUCCUUGAACCUUUCCCAAGCUUCACUCAAUGUCUCACCAUUUCGGUUAGAGAAUGUAGCUAUUUGACGUUUUAGCUC